AUGUUAUAUGAAAGGAGGGACAGUUAGAACUCCCCUUGACAAGGAUGGAGGUCUGUCCAUAGGCCCAGAGGACGCACAUAUGAUUAAGGUAUCUACUUUGGGGCAUCUAACCAUUGGUUUUC